rnacentral:rRNA from 1 species
UACGGGGGGAGCAAGCGUUGUUCGGAUUCACUGGGCGUAAAGGGUGCGCAGGUGGUUUGGCAAGUUCGAUGUGAAACGCCCGGCUUAACCCGGGAAUGGCAUUGGAUACUGCUGAUCUGGAGGAUCGGAGGGGGGACUGGAAUUCUUGGUGUAGCAGUGAAAUGCGUAGAUAUCAAGAGGAACACCAGUGGCGAAGGCGAGUCCCUGGACGAUACCUGACACUGAGGCACGAAAGCCAAGGGAGCAAACAGG